rnacentral:misc_RNA from 1 species
ACAAACUUGGUCAUUUAGAGGAAGUAAAAGUCGUAACAAGGUUUCCGUAGGUGAACCUGCGGAAGGAUCAUUAUAGAAAUCAUACCAAGGAGUGGGGUGAGCUUUCCCGGGUUGUUGCUGGCUCCUCGCGGGGCAUGUGCACGCUCGGGUGUGAUCUCCCUCCGAUUUCUCCACACACACCUGUGAACUCAUGUGGAACGCGAAGGGGAGGCUUGUUCUCCUCGGAGCUUCCAUCUUUAUCACUACAAACUCUUGUUGUGACCCGAGAUAACCACACGAAUAAAUGUAAAACAACUUUCAACAACGGAUCUCUUGGCUCUCGCAUCGAUGAAGAACGCAGC